UACGUAGGGUGCGAGCGUUGUCCGGAAUUAUUGGGCGUAAAGAGCUCGUAGGCGGUUUUGUUGCGUCGGCUGUGAAAUCCCGAGGCUCAACCUCGGGUCUGCAGUCGAUACGAGCAAACUAGAGUGUUGCAGGGGAGACUGGAAUUCCUGGUGUAGCGGUGGAAUGCGCAGAUAUCAGGAGGAACACCGGUGGCGAAGGCGGGUCUCUGGGCAGUAACUGACGCUGAGGAGCGAAAGCGUGGGGAGCGAACAGG
rnacentral:rRNA from 1 species